AUUUACUACAGGAAAAAAAUCACAGUUUGAGAAAACUACUCCAGAAAAAUAUAGCUCAAACACCUAAAAUAAGUAAAUAAAGUUUAAAGCACUCAAUAUUGUGAUCAAAAAUGUCUACUUUUAUUUGAUUUUCUGUCAACAAAAAGCAUGAACUUUGACUCAUUUAAGUUGAGAGAAAAUCUGGAAGAAUACACAUAUAAAGGUCAUUUCUGGAGUUUUUCCAUAUUUUCACCUGAUAUAAUAACGCAAGAAACUGACCUCAGGUGUCAACAAUGAGAUGACGAAGACAAACAACAGUCUUCAAAGAGUGUGACGAAACUACCUCAAUGGCUUUUUUGAACAUCCAAGUGCGCCCUCAUGUGGUCACCCACAUUAAAACUCAAAAACCGAAACUUGAGCAAUUUCUUUCACAGCUUUAACAAAAUAUGAUUAGACCAUAUAUAUGCGUUAUUUACUAAAGGACACGCAGAACGAAAAAUGCCAACGAUAGAAACCAUGAGUAAAAUGCUAACAGGUGUCAACACGAGUCUUAAUAUUACACUACUUAAACCCACAAUUAUAAAGAUUAUAAAAAUGUACUAGUUUUCAGCUUAAUAUAUAAUCUAGAGUUGGUAUUUAAAAUAAGACAUUAAGAUAUUUAAACGCAAAUCUGUUUUGUAGGCUAAACCCGCCAUAUAUAUAUAUAUAUAUAUAUAUAUAUAUAUAUAUAUAUAUAUAUAUAUAUAUAUAUAUAUAUAUACAGUAAUUAACCAUACAGUUAACAUAUUAGCCUUCAUGUAAACUUUAUAUUAACCUGCACUUCCCUCAGGUAUAAACAUACUUGCAUAUUUAUGUGUGAAUAUAUGUAUAUGUGCGUGUGUAUGUAUGGGGACGUGCACAGCAAUGCCUUAAUUCACGUAAUUUUGAAAAAUUUAUAACUUAUCAUAUGAAAGGCCGUAACAAAUGUGAAAGGACCUCCUUAAAACCUUAUUGUGUGAGGUGAAACAAAACCGAAAAUCAAAACAUUUGUAAGAACAAAAUCUGAAACGAUAAUGGUGAAACUCAAUCCACAGCAGCACGCCUAAAAUAAGAUCUUCACACUGUAAAUUUGCAAGCUUAUAGCUGCUUUUUUAUAAGCAGUUUAAGCUGCAUUCAACAAGCAUCAGGUUACUCAAAAGUAAGGGCGAUUAAAAUCACAGAUAUAAUUGUGAGCAGUCAGCAUUAUUAUCAAGGACUGUGCUUAUGAAAUACUGGCCAUGUUGUUUUAAUUUUCUCUUUUAGUCAUGAAACAAAACCAAAAACUAGAUGUUGUAAACACUGCCUGUUAGAAACCCUAACCCAAGUAUAAAAGAUGCUCAAUGCUUUAGUAUAGAUUAUACUCUAGUUCAGAUUGUGGUAUAUGUGUGUACCAAGUACUGCCUACUAACUUAACAUACUAUGUUUUUUGAAAUGGAGUGUCAUGAAGAAUGUAUGAAAUCAGUUUUUACUGCGUCUUUUUGCUUUUGUGGGUGUGGACUGGAUCACUUUGGUUUUCCUCCGCAAGACUCUCCUGUCAAUCACUGGCGGCUCCUCCUCUUCUCCCGAAUUUUGUACGGCAGCUUCAUCUUCCUCUGUGCUCCCCUUCUCCUCUUCAGUGCUUGUGAGCUUUUCUUCCUCCUCCUCCUCCUCUUCAUCAUCAUCAAACUCCUCAUCCACCACCUGUAUGACCACAGCUUUGCUCAGUCUACUGGAUGUGCGCUUGGGUGUUGGCGGGACGGGUUUGAUCCUGCCUCCUCGAAGAACUCGAACCCCAGGAGGAGAAUCGUGAGUUGUGUCAGAGCUUUUCCCCUCAUAAUCAUCAUCAUCAUCAUCUUCAGUGGUGGCAGUGUCCUCCUCUUCAUCUUUUUCAUCCGUCUCAGGUAAAUUCUCUUCCUCUUCCUCUUUUUCAGAGUCCUCUGUUGCAGGUUGGCUUUCCUCUGUCUCAAGUGGCUCAUCGGAGGCAGUCUCAUCAUCUUGUUGGCUCAGAGCUGACUCCUCUGUCUCUAUAAUGACUUCUCCUUCACCUGCUGCACUAGGAGAAGCAGAUGUCUCCUCCUCUGGAGCUUCUUGGUCAGGAGCAGUUGCUUCCUCUGCUGCAUCACUGUCCUGCACAGAGGAAACACACUCAACCAGGUCUGCUGGAAUGACUGGCGCCUCAGGAACAGCUUGUGGAUGAUCAGUGUCUUCGGUUUCCUCAACUGCUGAAGCUACUUCCUCUUCCUCUUCCUGCUGAACUUCCUCUUCCUCCUCAACUGGAGAAGAAACUUCUGCCUCUGCAUCCUGUUUCUCCUCAGUAACAAGUUCUUGGUCCAUCUGCUCCACUACUCCAGACUCUUCAGGAGUGUUAAUGAUGUCAUCCUUAAGAAGACAAACCAGAUUAGGAUUUUGUUUAGGUCUAGUCUAUGUAGUGAAAAUGAUGCUCUUAAUUAAAAAAUAAACACUAUAUGAUGACUAUGCAUUCCAUUUUUCAUAAAAUUACCCAAAUAUUCAGGAAGAGAUUGGAA
ensembl:lncRNA